rnacentral:lncRNA from 1 species
GGAGUUCCCAGGGUCUGCUCUUCCACUGGGGAGUGGAAGAGAGAUAUCCUGUUCAAGGCUGGUUCAGCCACCAGCUAGAUUCAGGAGCCCUGACUCCUGAUGGAAUGGUGAACCAGGGUGGAAACCAGGACAUGAAAUAAGGCUGCAGAAACUACGUGCUGAAAGGAAUAUAGUUGUGUGGGGAAUCUAGUAUGUCAACAUCACCAGUGUAGCGUUUACUGCAUGUAAAUGCCAAGAGGUAGAAUUGUUGAGUAAUGUACUAACUAUAUGUUUAUCUGCGUGAGAAACUUCAAGAUCAUCUUUCAUUCCCACAAGCAAUGUGUGAGACUUUCAGCUCCACAUCUUCAUCGACGUUUUUAGUAAUUCUAUGCUCUUUGAACAUUUUAUUUCAGAAAUUCUAUUUUUUAGUUGUAGAAUUUCCAUGUGAUCCUACUUUUCUGUUUCUACUCUUUAUACUUCUUGUUUCUCAUUCAUUGGGAACAAUGUUUUGAUUUAGUUAUUAAAAAUAAAUAUAAUGGCUGCUUCAAAAUUGUUACCAUUAAUUGAAAUGUCUGGUUCAUCUCAGGCUCAGAAUCAAUUGUUUUUCUUUUCUCCUGAGAAUGUGUUCCAUUUUCCUGAUUCUGUGUAUGCCUGGUAACUUCGGAUUAUAUCUGUCGUGUCGUGAAUAUGAAUGAGGAGAUUCUGGCCUCGUUAGGUUUCUCUGAUGGGCAUGGUUUCUUGUGUCUCCGCAGAUCAUUUCCGGGUAACCUCGGACUAUAUCUGCGAUGUCGUGAACAUGAAUGUGAGGAGAUUCCGGCUUCUGUUAGUUUUCUCUGAUGGGCAUAGCUUCCUAUGUCUCAGCAGAUCAUUUCCGGGUAACCUCGGACUAUAUCUGCGAUGUCGUGAACGUGAAUGUGAGGAGAUUCCGGCUUCUGUUAGUUUUCUCUGAUGGGCAUAGCUUCCUAUGUCUCAGCAGAUCAUUUCCGGGUAAUCUCAGAUUAUGUCUCUGGUGUCGUGAAUAAGAAUGUGAGGAUACUCUGGCCUCCUUAGGUUUCUCCGAUGGGCAUGGUUUCUUUUGUCUCAGCAGAUCAUUUCCGGGUAAUCUCGGAUUAUAUCCGCAGUGUUGUGAAUAUGAAUGUGAGGAGACUCUGGCCUCCUCAGGUUUCUCUGAUGGGCAUGGUUUCCUAUGUCUCAGCAGAUCAUUUCCGAGUAAUCUCGGGUUAUAUCUGCGGUGUUGUAAAUAUGAAUGUGAGGAGAUUCAGGCUUCCUUAGGUUUCUCCGAUGGGCAUGUUUCCUAUGUCUCAGCAGGCCUUUUUCUUGGCUAGUUUGAUCUGCAAACUCUACUCCUUGGGAGGCAGCUCUGGUCUUCGUCCAGAUCACUUCAUUUAAGCUGAGAUAUUUUUGAACUAUCCUACACGUCCAUGAUUUAGGAAUCAGCAGGAGAUGUGGGUAGAGAGAUUUAGGUGAUCCCUCUUUCUGCUCCUUUUUUUAUGGGAUAUCGUAAUCUCCUUGUCAUCGUUCUCCCAACCUCGCUUUCCUGUGCCCCUGGUCAGAAUACUGGAGGGAUCUUCCAUCUCUGUCCCCCCGGCACUGGUCAUGCUACACGGACUACUUCGCCCCGGGCCACAAGCAACAAAUUUUUAUACCUCCUGGUCUUCAAUGGUCUUGGAAAAUGUGCACACCCUCCAUCCAGUCUGUCUGCUCUUGGCCAGCCUACUCUGGUGCCUGCAGGCACUCGCUUUUUGUGCUGUGUCCAAGGUUUGCCAUUCCUUUCUGCAGGAAGGUCCGGUAGGGACUUAAUUUGUCAUACAUAGAAGCAAACAUUUAUCCAUGUGGUAGCUCAUGUUUUCACUCGUAGGGCAUCAUUUGAGGAACGGAAUUUAUUAGUUUGAAUAUAAGGUACCAAUUUCUUACUUUCUGAUUAGUACUUAUUAUGCUGUAUUUACCUAAUGUAUAUUAUCAAGAUUUCCUUCUGCAUUUUCUUCUAGAAGUGUCAAUGUUUUAACUUUCUCAUUUAGAAACACAAUUAAACAGAAUUGAUUUUUGCAUGUGGUAUGAGUUAUUGAUCAGAACUUCUUGCCAGUGAAAACACUAUGAGAUCCAUUUUGACUUUUGAAUUUCAAUAUGGUUAUGUAAUUAUAGCUCAGCAUAGUUAACAACAUAGAACAAAAUCUUAAAUAAUGCCAGAUACAAAAUCAAUUUCUAAAUUUUAUUUAUGCUUAGAAUUAAUUUAGAUGUCUUCACAGUAGAUACAAGACCCAAAAAAUAAGUUGUUACCAAUUAAUCAAUCUUUAAAGUUCUGAACUAUGUUGGACAGUUAAAAUGACAUCAACAAAAAUGUUUUGAGCAAAUUAACUAAUCUCAGGCAACUCAAUUAAGUGUCUGAAGGCAAGCAUGUAAUUAGAAUCCUCUCCUCUUUGCCAUUUAGACUUUACACGUUAAGUAUGCUUGAAGUAGUUUCUGUUUUAUGAAUUAAAAUAGAAUGAUCUUUACUUUUCUCCCUUUAUGAAUGAAGUUCUGACCAUUUACAAAUUUAGCAAGCAAUCUAUACAUGUUCUUUCUCUGUUUCAUGAAAGAAAUAAAAUUAUAUAGAAUCAUAAAAAUAAUCUAUAGUCUUUCACGUCUCUUUCAUUACCAUUUUAGGCAUUUUCUGUAUAGAAAACAAGAGAUAAAAAGAAAAGGGUAAAAAUUAACAAUUGAGAAAAAGAAUUAAUUAUAAAAAAUUAAAAAAUAAAAUAAUGGUAGAUGUGAUACAAAGAGUAAACAAAAAACACUUGAUUUCUCAAGUAAAAUGUAAACUAAGUAUGUAUUAUAUUUCGAGAAAAAGCUUAGCCUUGUAAAGUAAUUUUUUAUAAUAUUCACUAUGUACCUGCAAGGCAGACUCUUAAAUCACCUGUGUUUAAUUUUACACUUCCUGUGUUACUCAUCCCUCUAUCCCCUAACUGCAGUGCUUUUCCAAAUGUGAUUAAUGAUGUUAAUUGCCCUGUUAGAAGAAAGAGUCUCAUAGAUUGACAGUAUAACAAAGGUGAUAUAGCCUGGCCCCCAAACACAGAUGGUAUUUUGAUAGCAUUAAAUGGAUAGUUUAUUUGUGUCCAUUCUAUCUACUGAAUAUUACAUUAAUAAUCUUAUAUUUAAAAAAUUCAAUUCAAAGCAAUAUUUCACCAAUUUUCAUAUUUAAAAUUUGUUGAUACAUGCACAUUGUCACUGAUGACAGAACAGCAUUGCAAGUGGGAUGGAAAAGUAAAACCAAUCAAUUAUGGUUAAAUAAUGUGGCCAGGCGUGGUGGCUCACUCCUGUAAUCCCAGCACUUUGGUAGGCUGAGGUGGGCAGAUCAUGAGGUCAGGAGUUUGAGACCAGCCUGACCAAUAUGACGACACCCAGUCUCUGCUAAAACUACAAAAAUUAGCUGGGCGUGGUUGUGCAUGCCUGUAAUCCCAGCUACUCAGGAGGCUGAAGCAGGAGAAUCGCUUGAACCUGGGAGGCAGAGGUUGCAGUGAGCCAACAUCGUGUCACUGCACUCUACCCUGGGCCACAGAGCGAGACUCCAUCUCAAAUAAAUAAAUAAAUAAAUAAAUAAAUAAAUAAAUAAAUAAAUAAAUAAGUUGUCAUUUGCUGAAAACCUAUUUUGCAUUGAACCUCAUAUACAUUUUCCUUUUUUCCCUUGUAUUUGUACUUUUCUUCCCAAUUUAGUUAAGAAAAAGUAUGCCAUUAUGUUUAAUUUUGUAUGUCAAUUUGACUGGACCAUGAGGUGUCCAGAUACUUGUUCAAACAGUAUUUCUGUGAGUGUGUUUUGGGAUAAGAUUAACAUUUAAAUUAGUGAACUUUCAGUAUAGUGGAUUGUUCUCCCUAAAAUGAGUGGGCCUCAUCCUAUUCAUUGAAGGCCUGAAUAGAACAAAAUGGCUGGCUCUCUUGUGAGUAAGGAGAAUUACUUCUGUCUGUCUUUGAGCUGGGACAUUGGUAUUUUUCCUUCCUUCAAGCUCAAAUGGAAACACUGGCUCUUCC